rnacentral:rRNA from 1 species
AAAAACAUGUCUUAUUGAAAUAAAUAGUAAGUCUAUUCUGCCCAUUGAAAUAAAUUAAAAGGCUGCGGUAUAUUAACUGUACAAAGGUAGCAAAAUCAAUAGUUUUUUAAUUGAAAACUUGAAUGAAUGAGUUAAUAAGAUAUUAAUUGUCUCAAUUUUAAAUAGUUAAAUUUAAAUUAAAAGUUAAAAUGCUUUUAUAAAUUUAUUAGACGAUAAGACCCUAAGAAUUUAAUUAUAAAUUUUUUAUUAUAAAUUGUAAAAUAAUAUAAAAUAAUUGAAUAAUUUUAUUGGGAGGAUAAUUAAAUUAUUAAACUUUAAUUUAUAAUAAAUAUUGAUAAAUAAAAAUUUAAUGAUUAAUAUAAAGAUUAAAAGAAUAAAUUACCUUAGGGAUAACAGCGUAAUAAUUUUGGAGAGUUCAUAUUAAUAAAAUUGUUUACGACCUCGAUGUUGAAUUAAAAUAAAAAUUAAAUGGAGAAAUUUAAAUUUUUAGUCUGUUCGACUAUUAAAAUUUUACAUGAUCUG